rnacentral:rRNA from 1 species
AGUGAACGCUGGCGGUAGGCCUAACACAUGCAAGUCGAACGGCAGCACAGUAAGAGCUUGCUCUUACGGGUGGCGAGUGGCGGACGGGUGAGGAAUACAUCGGAAUCUACUUUUUCGUGGGGGCUAACGUAGGGACACUUACGCUAAUACCGCAUACGACCUACGGGUGAAAGCAGGGGAUCUUCCGCCCUUGCGCGAUUGAAUGAGCCGAUGUCGGAUUAGCUAGUUGGCGGGGUAAAGGCCCACCAAGGCGACGAUCCGUAGCUGGUCUGAGAGGAUGAUCAGGCACACUGGAACUGAGACACGGUCCAGACUCCUACGGGAGGCAGCAGUGGGGAAUAUUGGACAAUGGGCGCAAGCCUGAUCCAGCCAUGCCGCGUGGGUGAAGAAGGCCUUCGGGUUGGAAAGCCCUUUUGGUGGGAAAGAAAAGCAGCAGGUUAAUACCCCGCUGUUUUGACGGUACCCAAAGAAUAAGCACCGGCUAACUUCGUG